GACGAACGCUGGCGGCGUGCUUAACACAUGCGAGUCGAACGGAAAGGCCCUGCUUGCAGGGUACUCGAGUGGCGAACGGGUGAGUAACACGUGGGUGAUCUGCCCUGCACUUCGGGAUAAGCUUGGGGAACUGGGUCUAAUACCGGAUAGGAGCCAUCUUUAGUGUGGUGGUUGGAAAGUUUUUUCGGUGUAGGAUGAGCUCGCGGCCUAUCAGCUUGUUGGUGGGGUAAUGGCCUACCAAGGCGGCGACGGGUAGCCGGCCUGAGAGGGUGUACGGCCACAUUGGGACUGAGAUACGGCCCAGACUCCUACGGGAGGCAGCAGUGGGGAAUAUUGCACAAUGGGCGCAAGCCUGAUGCAGCGACGCCGCGUGGGGGAUGAAGGCCUUCGGGUUGUAAACUCCUUUCGCUAGGGACGAAGCUUUUUUGUGACGGUACCUAGAGAAGAAGCACCGGCUAACUACGUG
rnacentral:rRNA from 1 species